AAUAUUGGACAAAUGGGCGAAAGCCCUGAUCCAGCAAUGCCGCGUGUGUGAAGAAGGCCCUGCGGGUUGUAAAGCACUUUCAUCCGGGGAGGAAAAGCGUCGGGUGAAUAGCCCGGCGUCUUGACGUUACCCGAAGAAGAAGCGCCGGCAAACUUCGUGCCAGCAGCCGCGGUAAUACGAAGGGCGCAAGCGUUAAUCGGAAUCACUGGGCGUAAAGGGCACGCAGGCGGCCAGGUAAGUCGGGUGUGAAAGCCCUGGGCUCAACCCAGGAAUGGCAUCCGAUACUGCUUGGCUAGAGUCCGGUAGAGGGCAGUGGAAUUCCCGGUGUAGCGGUGAAAUGCGUAGAUAUCGGGAAGAACACCAGUGGCGAAGGCGACUGCCUGGACCGAGACUGACGCUCAGGUGCGAAAGCGUGGGGAGCAAAGAGGAUUAGAUACCCUCGUAGUCCACGCCGUAAACGUUGAGGACUAGCCGUUGGCCCCUAUUGAAUGGGGUUAGUGGCGCAGCUAACGCGUUAAGUCCUCCGC
rnacentral:rRNA from 1 species